AAUCAACGCUGGCGGCGUGCCUCAGACAUGCAAGUCGAACGCGAAAGUUUCCUUCGGGAAGCGAGUAGAGUGGCGUCCGGGUGAGUAACACGUAGGUAAUCUACCUUUGGGUGGGGAAUAACAACCGGAAACGGUUGCUAAUACCGCAUAAUGCAGCGGCACCACAUGGUGACAGUUGUUAAAGCGGGGGAUCGCAAGACCUCGCGCCUAAAGAGGAGCCUGCGGCGGAUUAGCUAGNGGUAAGGUAACGGCUUACCAAGGCAACGAUCCGUAGCCGGCCUGAGAGGGCGGUCGGCCACACUGACACUGAAAUACGGGUCAGACUCCUACGGGAGGCAGCAGUCGGGAAUUUUGGGCAAUGGGCGCAAGCCUGACCCAGCAACGCCGCGUGAAGGAUGAAAUCCCUCGGGAUGUAAACUUCGUAAGAACAGGAAGAAUAAGUGCGGGAUAAUACCUCGCAAUGAUGACGGUACUGUUCGUAAGCUCCGG
rnacentral:rRNA from 1 species